UACAUACAAUACCUAGUGCUCAUCCCAACAAAAAAAUGCUAUUUUAAAAAGCUGGUUGCUUUUUGACUUGGGAUCUCAGGACAAUAGAAUUAGAGUCUUUUUCUUUCUUGGGGUGGUUUUGUUUUUGUUUGUUUGUUUUUGUUUUUGUUUUUUUUUUCGGUCUGGUCAAGGUAAAGGGCUAAUUGAGAUAGGAGUGGUUAGGACCUGGGGACUAAAAUUGCUCUGCAUAAAGAAAUAAGAACUUUUUGUUUUUAAUUGAGGCUGGAGGGAAAUUUUUUUAUUUUGCUUUUGUUUGGGCAGGAGUGGUGAGAGAGUGGGCCCUAGCAGUAGGGUAGACAUGAGAAGUUGCUCCUCCAGUGGCGAGAAGGAAGGGGGCGUGAGUUUGAUGUCUGAUUGUCUAUUUUAAGUAGUUUCCUAUUCACCAUUAGAAUCUUUCUCUGGUAAAGAUGUGCUCGCAUGACACCCAGAUGUUCAUGUGUUUUGGAGACUGAAUAGAGAGGGCUGCAUCAGCAGUAGGGGUGAAGUGAAAUAGAAGGGAGAUGAUGAGAAUUGGGUUGCAGUUGGGGUUUAGGAUCAAAAGUAACAAGGAAUCAUUGGGCACUUUUUAGCGCCCUCCCUAGGAUCCUUGAAAUCAUUAAGGAGAGGGCUGGGUCCCAACAGUUAUGUGAGAUCUGGUCUAAAAUAGGCAUUUGAAUGUUAAAUGAAAGAUAGUAUACUUUGGGAGCAUGCAGAUGUCAGGGAGAAUAAUCUACUGACCAGGGUUGGAAGGUGUAAAUGUGGAUGUAGGUGAAGGCACUUCAUAAACUAGGGAAACACAUGAUCUUACACAAGAUAAAACCUCUUUCCAUGAAGAAUAUUUUGAAGUCAGAUUUGAAUUCAACACUGAUCAUGAAUAUAAGAAUAAUUAUCUGGAAGUCAUGAGCUAUGAUAGUUUUCUUUCUGUGUGAAGUCAGUUCAGACUGAUAGUUAAAACACAAUUGGAUGUUAGAGAUACAAUUUGAAAAAAUGGCUCCAUAUGACCCAGUGUUUCAGGUUAAGAUGUGAGAUUUAGGAUCCCAUGGUAUAUCAGGCCCAUUUAGUGGGAACAGAAAGCAGCUUUGGUCAUUUAAUAUUUAGCUGAGACUAUGGAUAGGUAAGAGAAAAAGGAAGUGAUGAUGUUGCAAAGCAACGGGAAAGAGCAUGUAUAGGAUAUAUAGACACUCAACAUAUAUUGUCUUUACUGCUCAUUCUUGUCCAAAGAAGUGGUGAUACGUCCAUUCUUUAGAUGGGGGUGGGGGAAAGGUGACAUUUACACUGAUGGAAGGAUUUGCUCCAAGUUAUAGCGCUGAAGUGGCAGAACUCCUGCAGACUGUCACCAAGGUCAAGGUCCUUGUUAUGUUCAUCUCACCAUGCUGCCAUGUGGGCUCUGAAUACAUCAGUGCUUAGCCUCCAAGCCUUGUGUGCUUCCAGACUCCUUGUCCCCAUUUCACACCACAUCUCCAUUGUUUUUCUUCCUGAGAAUUUUUAAAGAAGGCUUCUGACAAGACUUGAUGAGAUGCUACAGCUGACAAGCAUGUGAAAAAGGAUGAAAUAACUUGAGGUCUGGAGUGAACAGUUACAUUCCUGGAUUGUUGAAAGGCCCAUUCUUUACAUGGGAUCAACCAUCUUUGGUGAGGCUGGGUGGAUGAUGCAGUUUCACUUCUAGGUGUUAGGAUUCUCUUUCACACUGGUUUGUCAUGACCUUAAAGUAUUUUAAGUUUCUCCUUUGCUUUGUGUUCACGCCCAAACUCCAAGGGUAGGAUCUACCACAUAGAGGGUGGAGUGGCAUUCCAAUUCCAUUUAUUUUCUGCUGAAGCUGGCACAUUGAAUGAAGAUUUAUAUCUUAAGUGACAGGAUUCAGACGAAACACGACAAACCUGUAAAAUCUGCAACGUGGACGUGUCAAUGCAGAACUUUCCGAUGAACUGGAUGGGGCCAGGAAGACAAACCACACACACUGUCACGUUGUGCUGGGCAGCAUGACAGAUCAAAGAGAAUCCCAAGGAAGAGCAAGUCCUUGCUGGCUGCAGUGCACGUGGUGGGGGGUUCAGCACAGACUGCUGUUUGGUUUACGGAUUCAGGUGUGCGUCUAUCUUGGGCCUGCCUUUUUAUGGAAAAAUUUUGUGAAGAUACACUGCACUGACUGGAAAAUUAUUCACUUGUUUUUUAAUCAAAUUUAUUGAGUGGAAGCAUUGGUUAUGAAACUAGUCAUUUCACUGGACUUUAAUCCUGACCUAGUUGCCAACAAUGGGUGGUAAUUAUUCUUAUUUACCAAAGCAUAGAGAGAAUCUGUGUUAAAAGAGCAACCCAGGCAGGCACUGCUUUGAGGAGGGAACAAGUUUUACCACCUUGAGAUGAAUUAGUUUUGUGAAACAUCUCUGAUUGUCUUGCUGAAGGACUCCAACCACUGGACAUGAAUGGAAGCGUGCGGCAACUUUGUACUGCAGACAGCAAGUUAAAGCCCCCCGCCCCCCCACGCCCAGGAAAGCUCAGGAGUCAGGGGCCUCAGCAGAACACGCUCCUGACUUUACCACUGUGUGCCAUGGUGCUCCUGACAGCCUGGUUGGCCGUCACUCAUCUAGAAGAAUGAAUGAACCUCGUAUUAAGCGCUCCUCGCUGUUGGUUCAAGUAGAUCUCCUCAGAGUUCUCACUAAUCAGGUUCCCACCGUCUUUGGCAGAUUUGAUUCCUGGACUCCCACAGAAGGAUUUCAGAGAAGUCUUUGAACAAAUGCAAGAGGCACAAACUUCACCUAACAACCGUUUACUGAAACAUGUGUAACUUCUGUGCCUGGCAUAGGGCUGAGUGCUGAGGGUCUGAAGCAAGACAGGUCCCUGCCCCCAAGGUGCUGUAGUGCACAGCCUGCAGUCACGGAGCAGGUCUUAGAGCAUGGUUCUUCACUUGUGAGGGACUCCAGAGCUGUGAGUGCCUAAUGAGAACCUGCUGAUCAAGUGAACGGGGCCGACCAGUAUCAGGAUGGCUGCUACUGGCAUCUGUGCAACUCGUCUCCACGGUGAAGAAGAUGAUGGACUCAGAUCCUCUUUGUUUUUGCUCUAUUUGUGCUUCUGUACAUGAGAUACCGGUAACCCUGGAGCAUGAAGGCCUUUCCCAAGGAGUACAUAAAGCCACAGACAGAAAAGAAUGCAUUUUUCUUAGAAUGUCCAUAUCAUUCAAUGAUGAAUUAUGGAAAAGACUUUUAUAUUGAACUCAAAAUAUGCCCUGCGACAUAACAUGAAAUUAAAUCAAAAUUUCAAAAUAAAAUCUAAGAUUUUAAAGAAGUGUCAUAUUUGCCGCCUAAGGCCACUUUGGGCCAUGUGCCCUGAUCCCAGGGAUAAACCUUCAUUCUGCAUCUCAGGAGAAUCCUUCAUUGUAGAGCUAGGACAAGGAUUUCCUGGUCUAGAUAGUGACUGGUUACCUACCACCUUACAGGCUCUCCCUCGAUGCCUUCCUCCAACUCUACUAUCUAACAAUGAAGUCUAACGUGGGGGAAUCCCACUAAAAUCCUAAACCAGAGGAAACAAGGUCAACUGCAGAAAUUCAGGCACUGUCUGCCCCGGUCCUUCUACAAUCCAGCCCGUGCAGUUCCCGUCACAGCAAGUGCUUCCUCUGUCAGAGCAGACAAACUGACUGAAGCCACAGCCGGAAGCACGCUGACCACAAGUGCUAAAGUUCUGGUUCAACUGAAGAGGCUGUUCUAAGAAAGACUACUGAGGUAAUCAGUCACCUUCCUCAGAGAAAGUCUGCUCAGGUAGUCUUGUUUAGUUUACCAUGUAAACAAUGGAACAUUUACUGUUGAAUCCUUUAUUCUUCUAUAGCCUGAUGGGAGACUUGACAUUUUUUGGUGGGGGCAUGACGGACAAAGAGACCUGGGGCCUCUCUUUCCUUCAUAGUCCCCUCUGAGGAGAUCAAAGAAGGUAAACACUGUCCUUUCGAUCAGACGGCAAGUGUGUUUCUACUCAGCUUACCAAGCAGGAGGACACACCAGGGUUUCCCAGAAUGCCUAGGGACACCCAGGAUGAGAGCGCAGAGGAGGCAGGGGAGGACUGAAGAUCAUCCUUUAACUUUCCAAAAGCAGGAAUAUAGGACACUUAAUAAACCUUAAAUCACUUGCCCCUUUUGUAGGGAGGGGUGAUUAUUUUUUACUGAACGGGACUAAAAUAAUCCGUAGAGCUCACUUUUUUAAGAUCACAGCAAAAAAUAGAACCCCAAAUCUGUUGCUUUCGGUGAACAACGGUGAUAAUGAUCUCUAUGCUCAGUGACUCUAGAAGCUAUUUAUAGCAAUUAUUAUACAUUCAGAAAAAACUAAACUAAAAAAUGGAUCCCAGGUAUGGACAUGGUAAAAAGAUCAUGGGGUUGGGGAGAGGGAGGGAUGAAUAAAUAGGGGGAGCACAGAGGGUUUUUAGAGCAGUGAAGCUAUUCUGUUUGCUGCUGUAAUGGUGGAUACAUGGCAUUAUACAUGUGUCAAAACCUAUAGAAGGUACAACACCAAGAGUGAAUCCUAAUGUAAAUUCUGGUCUGUAGCUAAUAAUAAUGUGUCAUCUUGGUUCAUCAGUGGAAACAAACAUACCACAGUAAUGCAACAUGUUAAUAACAGGAGAAACUGGGUGGGAGUGAGGCAGGGAGGGGGGAGUGUACAGGAACUCUGUGCUUUCUGCUCUGUUUUUAUGUAAACCUAAAAGUGCUGUAAAAAAUAAAGUCUA